rfam:Niastella vici strain DJ57 contig39, whole genome shotgun sequence.
UUGGCGGAUUCCGAAAAGCCAGUAACAGAGUAGGGU